CAUAUUUAGUAGACAUAUCAGGGAAAUCAUCAUUAUACACAAACAACGUAGGAGACAGAAGCUAGUACAGUCAGCAUUAUAAGUAGCGGAUCAAAUAACGUUUCAUAAGUAUCUACAUUAUAUAACAGCGUAGCAGAAAGUGAUGUAUUUAAUAUAGAACAACUAAGACUGUAAAAGAUAUACUUUUGAGUGCGAAUUUUAGAAAUUUAUCUAUAUUUGAAUAAGUUAUCUGGAAUAUCAGAUACUUUUGACGCGUUGUUUCAUCCGCUACUUUUGAUGCUGACUGUACAAACAUAUUAAAACCAAUCAAUAGUCAAUAUUAAUAACUACGUACCUAGUUUUAAUUUGAUGCGCACAUUGAAAUAUCUAAAAGCUCGCCUUAUCUUAGAUUUGGAAAACAUUGCUUUAAUAUAUCGCCUUCCAAACAUUCCUAGAGCCAUGUUUUUAUUCCAUUACCGUUCAUUUACAGAAGUUUCCAUUAUGCUGUCAGCCUCAAGCAGAAAUGGAAACGCACUCGCUGAUAUUGAAUUAAUAUAGAGUGUAAUAGCAGUCCGCUCAGUGUUAUUUCAGCUUUGACCGAGAACACUCGUUUCGGUCUUCGCUCAUGCUUGGGGUAUAUCUGUAAAAUUUGCUAUUAGUACAACAGAAAAUAAUUGAAUUGAACUAAGUGGAAUUAUAGGCGUAACUUAUUUCAAGUCGAAUAAACAAUUUUAACGAACUUUGGAAAGUUAUAACUAGACUAUCUGUGAUUAAAAUACUUUAUUAAAUAUCUUGGUGUUUAAUCUGGAAGAUUAGUCGAUGGAGCAAAUAUGGUAACGAGGGACUGAAAACCAGCAACAUGGGCAGAAAUAAAGACAACGACGAAUCCAAUGGAGAGCUCAGUAUCCUCCUAGUAGUGACUGUGAUACUUGGCUUGAUUCUCAUGUUGUCGCUUGUCAUGUGCUACGCUUGCGUGCUUCGGCGGCUCUGCUGCGGGACCAGCAGGGAACGGAAGCAGAACGCAGCAAGGAAUGAGAGUUACCCUAUGGGGGAAAUAACUUUGUUAUCGCAGUCGACGAAAAGUGAACGAGUAUAAUGUUAAAACUAAGACAAGUGAAUUUGCUUCGGUAGUGGCAGAAAAGGGAAGCAACUGGCAGAAAUUUGAACAACAAAAAAGGUUUUUCGUUUUUUUUUAUGUUUUAUAUAUACUUGCAGUAUAAUAUAAGCUAAACUAUGGUACUAGCGAACGUGGACCAAACUUUAAGCCCACACUUUUUGCAAAUAGGCAAGCUUAAGAAACGGGCCUUGUUUAUUGCAGGUACCUUUUAUCCCAUGGAAGAUGUAACUGAAAUGUUUUGUUCUAUUGUAUGAGAGUUUUAAUGAAGUGGCAGGAAAAUAUACCUUCUAAUAGAAAUGCUGUUACGGGAUAUACCUUUAUGAUUAUAUCCAAAGUGAACGGCUUUAGAACUUGCUUAAAUCGAAUUAAUUUAAUAUGGAUAUUGUUUCAAUAUAAAGAAAGUGGCAAAACGGAAAUAUACGAAUGGCCCGAUUCGAAGAAUGAAAUACGAUAACGAUAAGAUCUGGUUUAGAUAAGUUUGUAUGUCGUAUAAUUGACGAUUGAUGAGAAACAGCUCGAUUCGGGCAACCAAUGUCACUUUGACAUUAGAAAUAUCGUAGACAGAUCUUAUUUUUGAUAUGUCGUUUAGCUAUCGAUCUUUCCAAGAUCUUAAACGUGUCUUAAUCAUUUUUCGAAUCGAGCCGUAAGCUUACUUAUUUCUCUAUGCAUUUGCUAGUCCUUAUUUCAUUGCAAUAAGAUAUACAAUACAUAUAGUGCCACUUCACCGCACUAACUUAAUGGGAUAAUUAGUACAUAUGUCGUAACUAUGUCGAAAAUUUAAAGCGUCAUAUGUACUGUAAUAGUACAUUACGAUACAAGUGCGAAAAAUAGGAAUUCGAAAUGAGUGGCGAUAAAUUAAAACACGACCGAAGGGAGUGUUUUAAAUUGACACCAGUUGCGAAUUACCUAUUCGCACAUGUAUCGUACAACGUUUUACAGUACAUAUGGCCCUUUAAAUGUUCGACACAGUAACGUAAUAUGCUAAUUUUCGCACUAGUGUGGUAAAGCAGCACCAUAUGUACUGUAAAACGUUGUACGAUACAUGUGCGAAUAGAUAAUUCGCAACUUGUGUCGAUUUAAAACACUCCCUUCAGUCGUGUUUUAAUUUAUCGCCACUCGUUACGAAUCGCCUAUUUUUCGCACUUGUACUAUUAUCUGCGAAUGGUCAAUUAAAUACGACCACGCUAAUAAGACUGUUGUACCUAUUACAUAAACCUAUAAAUAGAAUGAUGUGGAAAAUAAAAUAAACUUAAUAGAA